rnacentral:rRNA from 1 species
CUCAGGUGUUGUUGGGUAGGGGAGCGUUCUGUAAGCCUGCGAAGGUGUGUCGUGAGGCAUGCUGGAGGUAUCAGAAGUGCGAAUGCUGACAUAAGUAACGAUAAAGCGGGUGAAAAGCCCGCUCGCCGGAAGACCAAGGGUUCCUGUCCAACGUUAAUCGGGGCAGGGUGAGUCGACCCCUAAGGCGAGGCCGAAAGGCGUAGUCGAUGGGAAACGGGUUAAUAUUCCCGUACUUGGUGUUACUGCGAAGGGGGGACGGAGAAGGCUAUGUUGGCCGGGCGACGGUUGUCCCGGUUUAAGCGUGUAGGUGUGUGUUCCAGGUAAAUCCGGUUCACUUUAACACUGAGGCGUGAUGACGAGGCACUACGGUGCUGAAGCAACAAAUGCCCUGCUUCCAGGAAAAGCCUCUAAGCAUCAGGUAACAUCAAAUCGUACCCCAAACCGACACAGGUGGUCAGGUAGAGAAUACCAAGGCGCUUGAGAGAACUCGGGUGAAGGAACUAGGCAAAAUGGUGCCGUAACUUCGGGAGAAGGCACGCUGACACGUAGGUGAAGUGAUUUACUCAUGGAGCUGAAGUCAGUCGAAGAUACCAGCUGGCUGCAACUGUUUAUUAAAAACACAGCACUGUGCAAACACGAAAGUGGACGUAUACGGUGUGACGCCUGCCCGGUGCCGGAAGGUUAAUUGAUGGGGUCAGCGCAAGCGAAGCUCCUGAUCGAAGCCCCGGUAAACGGCGGCCGUAACUAUAACGGUCCUAAGGUAGCGAAAUUCCUUGUCGGGUAAGUUCCGACCUGCACGAAUGGCGUAAUGAUGGCCAGGCUGUCUCCACCCGAGACUCAGUGAAAUUGAACUCGCUGUGAAGAUGCAGUGUACCCGCGGCAAGACGGAAAGACCCCGUGAACCUUUACUAUAGCUUGACACUGAACAUUGAGCCUUGAUGUGUAGGAUAGGUGGGAGGCUUUGAAGUGUGGACGCCAGUCUGCAUGGAGCCGGCCUUGAAAUACCACCCUUUAAUGUUUGAUGUUCUAACGUGGACCCGUGAUCCGGGUUGCGGACAGUGUCUGGUGGGUAGUUUGACUGGGGCGGUCUCCUCCUAAAGAGUAACGGAGGAGCACGAAGGUUGGCUAAUCCUGGUCGGACAUCAGGAGGUUAGUGCAAUGGCAUAAGCCAGCUUGACUGCGAGCGUGACGGCGCGAGCAGGUGCGAAAGCAGGUCAUAGUGAUCCGGUGGUUCUGAAUGGAAGGGCCAUCGCUCAACGGAUAAAAGGUACUCCGGGGAUAACAGGCUGAUACCGCCCAAGAGUUCAUAUCGACGGCGGUGUUUGGCACCUCGAUGUCGGCUCAUCACAUCCUGGGGCUGAAGUAGGUCCCAAGGGUAUGGCUGUUCGCCAUUUAAAGUGGUACGCGAGCUGGGUUUAGAACGUCGUGAGACAGUUCGGUCCCUAUCUGCCGUGGGCGCUGGAGAACUGAGGGGGGCUGCUCCUAGUACGAGAGGACCGGAGUGGACGCAUCACUGGUGUUCGGGUUGUCAUGCCAAUGGCACUGCCCGGUAGCUAAAUGCGGAAGAGAUAAGUGCUGAAAGCAUCUAAGCACGAAACUUGCCCCGA